rnacentral:misc_RNA from 1 species
GCAAACUUGGUCAUUUAGAGGAAGUACAAGUCGUAACAAGGUAUCCGUAGGUGAACCUGCGGAUGGAUCAUUACCAAGAGUACCACUCUGCGUACUGUGAACUGCACUGCUGCGGAGGCUGUCGGCGGCGCAUGCUGCCGGCGAUGCCGAGCCGAACGUAUCUGCUGUGAUCUUACAUGUGUUGUUGAAACAAACAACUUUUAGCAAUGGAUCUCUUGGCUCUCUAGAGGAAGUACAAGUCGUAACAAGGUAUCCGUAGGUGAACCUGCGGAUGGAUCAUUACCAAGAGUACCACUCUGCGUACUGUGAACUGCACUGCUGCGGAGGCUGUCGGCGGCGCAUGCUGCCGGCGAUGCCGAGCCGAACGUAUCUGCUGUGAUCUUACAUGUGUUGUUGAAACAAACAACUUUUAGCAAUGGAUCUCUUGGCUCUCGCAUCGAUGAAGAACGCAGC